AAGGAAUUUUCGUCAAUGGGCGCAAGCCUGAACGAGCAACGCCGCGUGGAGGAUGACGGCCUUCGGGUUGUAAACUCCUUUUGGGGGGGACGAUGAUGACGGUACCCCUUGAAUAAGGCUCGGCUAACUCUGUGCCAGCAGCCGCGGUAAUACAGAGGAGCCAAGCGUUGUCCGGAUUGACUGGGCGUAGAGCGCACGCAGGCGGAGGCGCGCGUGGGGUGUGAAAUCUGGCCGCUUAACGGCCAGGCGCCAUCCCAUACGGCGCUUCUGGAGGGCUGCAGAGGUCGAUGGAAUUGCCGGUGUAGUGGUGAAAUGCGUAGAGAUCGGCAGGAACACCCAGGGGGAAACCAGUCGACUGGGCAGCACCUGACGCUGAGGUGCGAGAGCGUGGGGAGCGAAC
rnacentral:rRNA from 1 species